rnacentral:tRNA from 2 species
GGGGCCAUAGCUCAGCCGGGAGAGCGCUACAAUGGCAUUGUAGAGGUCGGCGGUUCGAUCCCGCCUGGCUCCACCA